rnacentral:misc_RNA from 1 species
UCUCCGUUGGUGAACCAGCGGAGGGAUCAUUACAGAGUUGCAAAACUCCCAAACCGUUGUGAACGUUACCUAUCCCGUUGCUUCGGCGGGCGGCCCGGGCCCCGCGCCCGCCGGAGGUAAACCAAACCCUUGAAUUGCAUGGCCUCUCUGAGUUUUCUGUACUGAAUAAGUCAAAACUUUCAACAACGGGUCUCUUGGUUCUG